GACGAACGCUGGCGGCGUGCUUAACACAUGCAAGUCGAACGGAAAGGCCCUGCUUUUGUGGGGUGCUCGAGUGGCGAACGGGUGAGUAACACGUGAGUAACCUGCCCUUGACUUUGGGAUAACUUCAGGAAACUGGGGCUAAUACCGGAUAGGAGCUCCUGCUGCAUGGUGGGGGUUGGAAAGUUUCGGCGGUUGGGGCUGGACUCGCGGCUUAUCAGCUUGUUGGUGGGGUAGUGGCUUACCAAGGCUUUGACGGGUAGCCGGCCUGAGAGGGUGACCGGCCACAAUGGGACUGAGAUACGGCCCAGACUGCUACGGGAGGCAGCAGUGGGGAAUAUUGCACAAUGGGCGGAAGCCUGAUGCAGCAACGCCGCGUGCGGGAUGACGGCCUUCGGGUUGUAAACCGCUUUCGCCUGUGACGAAGCGUGAGUGACGGUAAUGGGUAAAGAAGCACCGGCUAACUACGUG
rnacentral:rRNA from 1 species